UCUGCCCAAAUUGCAUGACUUUACCAUUGCAAUGGUCAAAAAGACAGACUUUUGGAUACAUGUAUCCAUUAUCCGUCAACUUUCUCUGCUUUCGAAGUCAAUCUUUUUGACAGUUUUGUUGAAAUACCGAUCACUCCGCCAUUGAUUGGCAUUGCUUCUUCGAAUAGGUCCGAUGGGAGCCACUGCUUGGAUCGAUUGGGAGCUGGAGUCGUACCCGAAGCCCGAAGACUUGUUGGUCGUUCCCUUCUUUGCUCUCUUCUUCCCUUCUGUGCGACUUUUUCUUGACAGAUGCGUCUUUGAGAAAUUAGCCAGGCGAAUGAUUUUUGGAAAGGGGCAUGUCACUUUGGACGUUGAGGCAGGUGAUAAGAGGAAGAAACUCAAUAAAUUCAAAGAGUCUGCAUGGAAAUGCGUUUAUUUUUCCUCAGCAGAGCUUUUGGCUCUUUCUGUUACGUAUGAUGAGCUAUGGUUCACUAAUACCAAAUACUUUUGGGUAGGGCCUGGAGAUCAGGUUUGGCCAGAUCAGAAAAUUAAAUUAAAAUUGAAGGCAUUCUACAUGUAUGCUGCCGGGUUUUAUACUUACUCCAUCAUUGCUCUGAUCUUUUGGGAAACGAGACGUGCCGACUUUUUGGUAUCGAUGGUUCAUCAUAUAGCAACUGUUAUAUUAAUCAUACUGUCUUAUAUAUUCAGGUUUGCCCGUGUUGGUUCGGUCAUUUUAGCUCUCCAUGAUGGAAGCGAUGUAUUUCUAGAAGUUGGAAAGAUGUCCAAAUAUAGUGGCUUUGAAAAGAUAGCAAGCGUUUCUUUCGCUCUUUUUGUUCUCUCUUGGACUGUGCUUCGCCUUAUCUACUAUCCCUUCAGGAUACUUCGGAGCACUAGCUAUGAAGUUCUUUUGACCUUGGACAUGGAGAAGCACAUGGUGAAUGGAUCUAUUUAUUAUUACUUGUUUAAUACUCUUCUUUUCUGCUUGCUCGUUGUACAUAUCUAUUGGUGGAAGUUGAUGUUUGUAAUGCUCUUGGAACAAAUUCGUGCAAGAGGCCAGAUUGGUGAUGAUGCUAGAUCUGAUUCUGAAAGUGAGGCGGAACACGAGGACUGACCAUUAUAUUGAACUACACCAAGAAGGUUUAGCAUUCUCACUUUCAUCAUCCUGGUAGAAUACUCUGCUCUUAGUUCUUCAUCAUUCUGAUGGUUGUGAAACAGGCUUGCUGAACUUUAUGUCCACAUUCUCCUAUUUGAACUGAAUGUCGGGAAAGUGCUGCCAAAUCUACCGUUUUUCAGCCACAAAAUAUUAAACGCACACCAUCAUCAUGCUCACCGGCCGCUGAUCUUCAAAAUUCAGGUAGAAGUGCUGCCAAAAGACCUGCAAGUAGCUCGCAUCCGCCACCCAGGCCACACAUGCAUCACACACACCAUCGUCUAUUCCAGCCACUAUCAUCCAUGCACAGCAAGACUGAUUUCCCCAUGUCCAUAUCUUAUAAAUCUUGACCAUGCGAUUUCACAUCCCACUGCACGUUUGACACUUUCAUUGCGAAUUUCUUUGGUGAAUUACCGUUGGUAUAGCUAUCAAACUAUGUUCGUGCUUUCCCUUUUUAAAAUUUUGGAGGAAGAGGAUGUGGAUAACCCUAUCAUCAAGAUCACUACUGUAAAUUGCAGCGAUCCUUUCUCGGUUGAUGUUACAAACUACAUUUGUGUAGUCCAUCAAUUGGACUGCAAACCUCUUUCUUUAGCAGUCCCUUCUUUAUGUUUUAUGUUUACAUUGCAUCAAUUUUAAUG